UACGUAGGGGGCUAGCGUUGUCCGGAAUCAUUGGGCGUAAAGCGCGUGUAGGCGGUUCGGUAAGUCCGCUGUGAAAGUCGGGGGCUCAACCCUCGGAUGGCCGGUGGAUACUGUCGAGCUUGAGUACGGAAGCGGCGAGUGGAAUUCCUGGUGUAGCGGUGAAAUGCGCAGAUAUCAGGAGGAACACCAAUUGCGAAGGCAGCUCGCUGGGA
rnacentral:rRNA from 1 species